GCUGGUGUUGCGGCGCUGGCGACAGUCGGGGUUGCGAGCGGCCCGGGGCCGGGGCGGCCAGGGCCGCUGCAGGACGAGACCCUGGGUGUGGCGUCCGUGCCCUCGCAGUGGAGGGCCGUCCAGGGCAUCCGCUGGGAGACGAAAAGUUGCCAGACGGCCAGCAUUGCCACUGCCAGUGCAUCCGCCCAGGCCAGGAAUCAUGUGGACGCCCAGGUGCAGACGGAGGCCCCCGUGCCUGUCAGCGUGCAGCCCCCGUCCCAGUAUGACAUACCCAGGCUCGCAGCCUUUCUUCGGAGAGUGGAGGCCAUGGUCAUCCGAGAGCUGAACAAGAAUUGGCAGAGCCACGCGUUUGAUGGCUUCGAGGUGAACUGGACCGAGCAGCAGCAGAUGGCUGGACCAUGGGGACUGGAGCACGCUUAAGUCCUUCGUGUGUGCCUGGAACCUGGACCGGCGAGACCUGCGUCCCCAGCAGCCGUCGGCCGUGGUGGAGGUCCCCAGCGCUGUCCUGUGUCUGGCCUUCCACCCCACGCAGCCCUCCCACGUCGCAGGUGAGCUGCCUGCUGUGUCCGCCUCCUCUCCUCUCAGGACUCAGCUUCCCGCCCUGCAGAGGGCACAAGGGAGCUUUCCAUGGGCCCUUUGGCCCGGAGACAGGAAGGCGGGCCCUGACCCUCUCAGUCUGGAGCCCAGGUGAAGGUCUGCAGUGAGCCCUGAGGGGUGGAACUCGGGGGAGGAGUCUGGAAGGGGG
rnacentral:lncRNA from 1 species